rnacentral:rRNA from 1 species
GUGGGGAAUCUUGCGCAAUGGGCGAAAGCCUGACGCAGCCAUGCCGCGUGAAUGAUGAAGGUCUUAGGAUUGUAAAAUUCUUUCACCGGGGACGAUAAUGACGGUACCCGGAGAAGAAGCUCCGGCUAACUUCGUGCCAGCAGCCGCGGUAAUACGAAGGGGGCUAGCGUUGCUCGGAAUUACUGGGCGUAAAGGGCGCGUAGGCGGACAGCUUAGUCAGAGGUGAAAGCCCAGGGCUCAACCUUGGAAUUGCCUUUGAUACUGGCUGUCUUGAGUUUGGGAGAGGUGAGUGGAACUCUGAGUGUAGAGGUGAAAUUCGUAGAUAUUCGGAAGAACACCAGUGGCGAAGGCGACUCACUGGCCCAAUACUGACGCUGAGGCGCGAAAGCGUGGGGAGCAAACAGGAUUAGAAACCCUUGUAGUCC